rnacentral:rRNA from 1 species
GACGAACGCUGGCGGCGUGCUUAACACAUGCAAGUCGAACGGAAAGGCCCUGCUUUUGUGGGGUGCUCGAGUGGCGAACGGGUGAGUAACACGUGAGUAACCUGCCCUUGACUUUGGGAUAACUUCAGGAAACUGGGGCUAAUACCGGAUAGGAGCUCCUGCUGCAUGGUGGGGGUUGGAAAGUUUCGGCGGUUGGGGAUGGACUCGCGGCUUAUCAACUUGUUGGUGGGGUAGUGGCUUACCAAGGCUUUGACGGGUAGCCGGCCUGAGAGGGUGACCGGCCACAUUGGGACUGAGAUACGGCCCAGACUCCUACGGGAGGCAGCAGUGGGAAAUAUUGCACAAUGGGCGGAAGCCUGAUGCAGCAACGCCGCGUGCGGGAUGACGGCCUUCGGGCUGUAAACCGCUUUCGCCUGUGACGAAGCGUGAGUGACGGUAAUGGGUAAAGAAGCACCGGCUAACUACGUG